UACGUAGGGCGCAAGCGUUAUCCGGAAUUAUUGGGCGUAAAGAGCUCGUAGGCGGUUUGUCGCGUCUGCUGUGAAAGACCGGGGCUCAACUCCGGUUCUGCAGUGGGUACGGGCAGACUAGAGUGAUGUAGGGGAGACUGGAAUUCCUGGUGUAGCGGUGAAAUGCGCAGAUAUCAGGAGGAACACCGAUGGCGAAGGCAGGUCUCUGGGCCGAAACUGACGCUGAGGAGCGAAAGCGUGGGGAGCAAACAGG
rnacentral:rRNA from 1 species